UAGAAAUAACAUCUAGCCGAGCUCAAGGAUUGGAGAUCCGUUUCAAUCUUGCCGAGCUCAAGGAUUGCAAUUUCGUGUCAAUCCUGGUACACAGUCACGAGCUGUAGUACAACAAAAUUCAAUGAUGGUGGGUCGUAGAUGAAUAGUAAAGCUGCAUGCAAAUAUUGCAUAGCCCCAAGACGCAAUAGAAAGAGUGGUGCGCAUCAAUAAUGUUCGAGCGACAAGCUAAAGUUGCUUGGUCGUAGCCUUGGUGAGACCGUAUUGCGUGUGAACAUGGGGUACAGGACACUUCAACUUACAUCCCGAUGAACUUCUUUAAAGAAUGGGUAGUGAGCCCGUAGAAGUAUAAGCAGUAGAUAAUAGUGUAACACGUGACCAGUGUGUUAACACGUCAACCAACACCAUAAAGCAUAAAAAGGUGUCCGCAAGUUGGUUGUACCUAUCUACAUAGUUUGAUGUAAGAAUAAAAUGUUCACUUUUGUGUUAUUUAGCGUAGGAGGGUCUCACUCCUUAUUUAGCUAAAGAAUAGGCUUUUAAAAAGAGCAAUGAGCAUUGCAGGAGGCCAAUGCGACAUCGAGGAAAGACCGGUGCACCUCAAUUGCUUGAGGAAUUGACCGGACGACCUCUAGGAAGUUGGAGUCGUGUUCGGGUGACGUCAAUGUCCCCCGGGUCACCACCAUGCUUCAUGGUGAUGCUAGAUCUCGAAUAUUUUCGUUUUGAACGGAAGAAUGGAUGUCCAUGAGAAUUUCUCAAAAUUUGGACCAUUAUAUCUCUUCCAGGUUGACCAAUUUGGUCAAACCAAAGCCUAUAUGAGUCGGUGUCCCAAAUAUCAUGUUUGGCGACAACAUGAGAUUCGAUAUUCGAAUCGUAGUGACAUACAUUGACUCAUGAAUUUCUCCAAGAUGCGCUUCAGUUCGCAUUCAUGAGGAGGUAUACACAAAAGAAUUACUUGUUCAUUCUC
rnacentral:lncRNA from 1 species